rnacentral:rRNA from 2 species
UACAGAGGGUGCGAGCGUUGUCCGGAAUCACUGGGCGUAAAGGGCGCGUAGGUGGCGGCCCAAGUCCGUGGUGAAAGCUCGCCGCUUAACGGCGAGUCGGCCACGGAGACUGGGUGGCUCGAGCACUGUAGGGGCAGAUGGAAUUCCGGGUGUAGCGGUGGAAUGCGUAGAGAUCCGGAAGAACACCAGUGGCGAAGGCGGUCUGCUGGGCAGUUGCUGACACUGAUGCGCGACAGCGUGGGGAGCAAACAGG